GGCCUCCCAGUGCUCACCACAGGCUGUGUUCCCACACUGCCUGUACAGACAGAGGACGCAGAGCGAACCCACCCCACGCGCCUCGGCCCCGGCCCUUUGCCUGGUCUCUAUUGUGAAUGGGGGGAAAACA